AUUGAACGCUGGCGGCAGGCUUAACACAUGCAAGUCGAGCGGUAACAUUUCUAGCUUGCUAGAAGAUGACGAGCGGCGGACGGGUGAGUAAUACUUAGGAAUCUACCUAGUAGUGGGGGAUAGCUCGGGGAAACUCGAAUUAAUACCGCAUACGACCUAUGGGAGAAAGGGGGCAACUUGUUGCUCUCGCUAUUAGAUGAGCCUAAGUCGGAUUAGCUAGAUGGUGGGGUAAAGGCCUACCAUGGCGACGAUCUGUAGCUGGUCUGAGAGGAUGAUCAGCCACACCGGGACUGAGACACGGCCCGGACUCCUACGGGAGGCAGCAGUGGGGAAUAUUGGACAAUGGGGGAAACCCUGAUCCAGCCAUGCCGCGUGUGUGAAGAAGGCCUUUUGGUUGUAAAGCACUUUAAGCAGUGAAGAAGACUCUUCGGUUAAUACCCGGAGACGAUGACAUUAGCUGCAGAAUAAGCACCGGCUAACUCUGUGCCAGCAGCCGCGGUAAUACAGAGGGUGCAAGCGUUAAUCGGAAUUACUGGGCGUAAAGCGAGCGUAGGUGGCUUGAUAAGUCAGAUGUGAAAUCCCCGGGCUUAACCUGGGAACUGCAUCUGAUACUGUUAGGCUAGAGUAGGUGAGAGGAAGGUAGAAUUCCAGGUGUAGCGGUGAAAUGCGUAGAGAUCUGGAGGAAUACCGAUGGCGAAGGCAGCCUUCUGGCAUCAUACUGACACUGAGGCUCGAAAGCGUGGGUAGCAAACAGG
rnacentral:rRNA from 1 species